ensembl:lncRNA
GUUAGGAUGGUUGGGCGGGGGCCACGCUUCCCCUCCCCUGGGAAUAGAAACUCCCCAUGGGACACCCAGAAGGGCUGCCUCUUUGAAUCUGGGACCCUUUUCAUUCUGGAUGGAAGGGACGUUUCUCGUCUUCCAGUUUGCGUGUCCAAGAAUCGUUCUGGGCCGCCGGCUCCUCGGAAGUGGAAGCGGUGAAUUUCAGCGUUUAAACAACCCGCGCACAUUGAGAUUCAGGGCCAGUGGUUAAAGUUCUUAGUUGCAGGUGGAAAAAUCAAGGGUCUGGUCACCUGUCCUUGUGAACCCGAACCGAGCCCUUGGUGUACUUGGUGACCUGGCCCUGACGUCCUGGCGGUCUGUACGGCUCGGAAUUUUUCGAGCUGCACUCAGAGGCCGGCGAAAAGUUCGCAGUCCCGGUUCUCGGCAGCGCGGAACUCACAUUGCUUGUGACACGGGCGCUUUCCCAGCCUCUCAGAUCUGACCCAUGGACCUUUGUGCCCUCUGGCUUGGGUGCUGAGGCCCCGGAGUUGGUGGCCACCCCGUUAAGCUAUGUCGGCCCAGGAAAUGCGAGCUCCAAGCCUGGGCCUACCACGGCGCCACCGCGGCUGCAGCUGUGGGUUGAGCACGGUGGCCGCGUGAUCGCUGUCGCCCAGCCGGACCGAGGGGCAGCAGGGACUCAGUGUUCAACCCACCACCUCCUUGUCUUUCCCAGGUGGACCAAGAAACCCAGAUUUCAGGAAUCACAAGUUGCCAGACAAGAGUGCUCUGCGAGGAGCUGAUCGAGACGCGGGAACUUCGGCGGCGCUGGUGCGGAAAACGCUGGCUCCAAAGUACACAGCUCAGAUUUGCCUCUGUGGAGGGACCGACAGAAGAAAAAGAACGGAUUCAUUUUGCACAUUUCAUUCAGAUGUUGCGGGUCUACAAAGCCAUCCGGAGAGACAGAGAGAUAAGGAGAGAAACAAGGAAAGCGGAGAAUGCGGAUAUCUGAACCUUGAGCCAAAAUACACCAAAGAAGAGGUUCUCCUCACAUCCUCUACCUCCUGGAAGUUACAGGGCAAGCACUGUGGAGACUGUGCAAGCACUGUGGAGUGCUCCUGUGGUUACUAUAUUAUAGAUGGCCACAGGGACAGCCAGCCUGCAGACUCAGACAGCAGCUCCACCCCCAGCUCACGCCACCCUGAGUGCAAAUACGUGGCCAGUGCUGAGGCCUCCAGGGCACUGUCUGCUGGCUGGAGCUUGAACUCUGCCUCUUCCCUGGAUUCCCUCAUUCAAGAUCCGGAAUAAAGGAAAGGACUUAAUGUGGACACAGCAACAUGCAGUUUGCCCAUUCAUUUGGCUGCUCUGUGGGUCCUAACCCUGGAGCCAAGAGGCCCCCACCAGGCUCCCCAUCAAGGCUGAGGCCAUAUCCCCACCCAUCUCAUGCACACACACCUGGUAACACCUUAAGCCAAGGAACUUAAGCUCUCACAACUCUCGGGGAGGAAGGGAGAGACUUCUUCUUUCUCUAUUUUAAGCAGAAAUGCUAGGCUGGCCCUCAGCCUCUGCAGCAUCUCCACUGGGCUGGGGAAGGUCCUUGCCCAUCUCAGGGGCAGGAACUCUAAGAAGUCCUUCCAGAGACUUCCCUGGUGGCACAGUGGAUAAGAAUCCGCCCGUCAGUGCAGAGGACACAGGUUCAAUCCCUGGUCCGGGAAGAUUCCACAUGUCACAGAGCAACUAAACCCAUGCGCCACGACUACUGAGCCAGGGCUCUAGAGCCUAUGGGCUGCAACUACUGAGCCAGAGCUCCCACGAGCCCACACUCCAAAACAAGAGAAGCCAUCACAACAAGAAGUUCGAGCAUCGCACCUAGAGUAGCCCCAGCUUGCAGCAACUAGAGAAAGCCUGCA